rnacentral:rRNA from 1 species
CCGGCGCACGGGUGAGUAACGCGUAUGCAACUUACCUAUCAGGAGGGGAUAACCCGGCGAAAGUCGGACUAAUACCGCAUGAAGCAGGGGUCCCGCAUGGGGAUAUUUGCUAAAGAUUCAUCGCUGAUAGAUAGGCAUGCGUUCCAUUAGGCAGUUGGCGGGGUAACGGCCCACCAAACCGACGAUGGAUAGGGGUUCUGAGAGGAAGGUCCCCACAUUGGUACUGAGACACGGACCAA